GGGUUGUUAGCUCAGUUGGUAGAGCAGUGGACUUUUAAUCCAUUGGUCGCAGGUUCGAGUCCUGCACAGCCCACCA
rnacentral:tRNA from 11 species